rnacentral:rRNA from 1 species
GAGGAUUAUACUGUCUCCCCCCCUAAAUCAAUGAAACUGAUCCCCCCGUGAAGAAGCGGGGAUAAAUAUAUAAGACGAGAAGACCCUAUGGAGCUUUAAACUCAACACCACCUACCUCAACCAACUCCCUCACAAACAGGUAGAGAUCGUGUAUGUUUUCAGUUGGGGUGACUGCGGAGCAAAAUAAAACCUCCACGAUGAAAAAAACCUCUAAUCCAAGAACAACAUUUCAAAGAAUCAACAAAUUGACAUCAAUUGACCCAAAUAAUAAUUUGAUCAACGAACCAAGUUACCCUAGGGAUAACAGCGCAAUCCAUUUCAAGAGCUCAUAUCGACAAAUG